rnacentral:rRNA from 1 species
GAUGAACGCUGGCGGCGUGCCUAAUACAUGCAAGUCGAGCGAACAGAUGAGGAGCUUGCUCCUCUUACGUUAGCGGCGGACGGGUGAGUAACACGUGGAUAACCUACCUAUAAGACUUGGAUAACUUCGGGAAACCGGAGCUAAUACCGGAUAAUAUAUUGAACCGCAUGGUUCAAUAGUGAAAGACGGUUUUGCUGUCACUUAUAGAUGGAUCCGCGCCGCAUUAGCUAGUUGGUAAGGUAACGGCUUACCAAGGCAACGAUGCGUAGCCGACCUGAGAGGGUGAUCGGCCACACUGGAACUGAGACACGGUCCAGACUCCUACGGGAGGCAGCAGUAGGGAAUCUUCCGCAAUGGGCGAAAGCCUGACGGAGCAACGCCGCGUGAGUGAUGAAGGUAUUCGGAUCGUAAAACUCUGUUAUUAGGGAAGAACAAAUGUGUAAGUAACUAUGCACGUCUUGACGGUACCUAAUCAGAAAGCCACGGCUAACUACGUG